rnacentral:rRNA from 1 species
GCUUGACACUGAACAUUGAGCCUUGAUGUGUAGGAUAGGUGGGAGGCUUUGAAGUGUGGACGCCAGUCUGCAUGGAGCCGACCUUGAAAUACCACCCUUUAAUGUUUGAUGUUCUAACGUUGGCCCGUAAUCCGGGUUGCGGACAGUGUCUGGUGGGUAGUUUGACUGGGGCGGUCUCCUCCUAAAGAGUAACGGAGGAGCACGAAGGUUGGCUAAUCCUGGUCGGACAUCAGGAGGUUAGUGCAAUGGCAUAAGCCAGCUUGACUGCGAGCGUGACGGCGCGAGCAGGUGCGAAAGCAGGUCAUAGUGAUCCGGUGGUUCUGAAUGGAAGGGCCAUCGCUCAACGGAUAAAAGGUACUCCGGGGAUAACAGGCUGAUACCGCCCAAGAGUUCAUAUCGACGGCGGUGUUUGGCACCUCGAUGUCGGCUCAUCACAUCCUGGGGCUGAAGUAGGUCCCAAGGGUAUGGCUGUUCGCCAUUUAAAGUGGUACGCGAGCUGGGUUUAGAACGUCGUGAGACAGUUCGGUCCCUAUCUGCCGUGGGCGCUGGAGAACUGAGGGGGGCUGCUCCUAGUACGAGAGGACCGGAGUGGACGCAUCACUGGUGUUCGGGUUGUCAUGCCAAUGGCACUGCCCGGUAGCUAAAUGCGGAAGAGAUAAGUGCUGAAAGCAUCUAAGCACGAAACUUGCCCCGAGAUGAGUUCUCCCUGAGACUUAGAGUCUCCUGAAGGAACGUUGAAGACGACGACGUUGAUAGGCCGGGUGUGUAAGCGCAGCGAUGCGUUGAGCUAACCGGUACUAAUGAACCGUGAGGCUUAACCUU